AGAUGGGAAAAUCCCCCCUUUCCUGCCUCAAAUUCCUCAAUUUUCCCCUCCUAAAUCGUGUUCAGCAAACACCAAAUGUGAGAUGGGAAAAUCCUCUUUUCCUGCCUCCAAUUUUCUGAUUUCACCCCAGUUUUCCCUUCAAAUUGUGCUCAGCAAACACAAAUGUGAGAUGGGAAAAUCCCCCUUUUCCUGCCUCAAAUUCCUGAAUUUUCCCUUCCUGCAUUGUACAUGGCAAGCACAAAAUGUGAGAUGGGAAAAUCCCCUUUUUCCUGCCUCCAAUUCCCCAGUUUUCCCCUUCCAAACACAAAAUGUGAGGUGGGAAAAUCCCUCCCUUUCCUUCCUCCAAUUCCCUGAUUUUCCCCUCCCAAACAAAAAAUGUGAGUUUGGAAAAUUCCCCAUCCUCAAAUUCCCCUUUUUCUCCUCCCAUUUCCUCUCCCACAUUGUGGGCAAAAUGUGAGGUUGGAAAAAAAAAUCUCCUCUGUCUCAAAUUCCCACUUUUCCCCCCCAAUUUCCCCUCCUAUUUCCCCUUUUUUUUCCCUGUCCCAUUUUCCCCUUUUCCCCUUGAUUUUCCCCUCCUAUUUUCCCAUUUUUCCCUGAUUUUCCCCUGCUAUUUCCCCUUUUUCCCCCCUCCUAUUUUCCCUUUUUCCCCCCAAUUUUCCCCUCCCACAUCGUGCGCCACGAGCACAAAAUGUGAGGUUGGAAAAAUUCCCUCAAAUUCCCUUUUUUCUCCCCAAUUUUCCCCCUCCCUCCCAUCCUUAUAGGGCAUGGAACUGUUGGGUUGUGUUAUUUUUAUUUUUAUUUUCUUUUAUACUCCUUUGCACUGACUUUGGCUAGAAAAAACAACAAAACAACACAAAAAAGUAUUUAACAACAACAACAAAAAACCCCCAAAAAAACCCCAAAACCCGACCAGCCCCACCUAGGGAGAGCCCUUAAUCCUCCUUUUUAUAAACAAAGUUAUUUAAAUAUUGAAUAGGAACUUUUUUUCUGCUUUUUAUUUCCCUUUCCCCUCGUUAUUUAUUAAGCUUUUCCGUUGCUCUUUUGAUAAUUCUUGGGGUUUUUCACCCCCAAAAAAAAAGAAAAAAAAAAAAAAAAAAGACAAAAAAAGGUCUCACUUGAAUUUUUGGAGACUGUUCCCCCCCUUGCCCUGCUCCCGCCCGUUCCCGGGCUAAAGGAACCUCAAAAUUCGGUGCUAAACCCCCCCGGGACCCCCCAAAACUCAGCCUGACCCCCCCAGCCCGGGGGGAGCUGCCCCAUCCUCAGCUUUAACCGGGGUACCCCGGAAUGGGACGUGGGGACCCCCAAAUCCUGCCCCAAAUUCUCCCCCACAUCCUUCCCCAAUCCUUCCCCAAACCCCCAAAAAAGUCUCCCCCAAAUCCUCUCCCAAAUCCCCCAAAUUCUUCCCUAAAUCCCCCCAAAAUCCUUCCCCAAAUCCCCAAAAAAUCCUGCCCCAAAUU
rnacentral:lncRNA from 1 species